UUGUGUCAGCAUUCUUUAUUUAGAUAUGUCUUAUUAUCAGGUUAAAGACUAUGCAAACAUUAUUCUUUGUACUCAAGAAAGUUAUAGAACUAGAAACAUCUAUGCAGCUUUUCCACACUUGCAAUGUGCUAUGUUUGGAGCUUUGUGUAGUGCUCAAGGAGGCCCAUUUUUAUAGUUCCUGUUAAGUGGGCAGGCUCAUGAGUAGCAGAGCUGGUGAAACAUUGUGGUUGUCUAGCAUGAGAAUUCCUCUAUCCCUGGGAGCUAUGUUCCCAAGAUCAAAGUCAAAGCUGAUAAGACUUUUGCACAGAGCCUCUUCAGGCAGGGCAUUACCAUAGCAGCUGGAAAUAUGGGAAUCUAACCAAAAACAUUCCCAGGCAGCAGGCAUGCCACAUCCAUGAAGUCAGAUACCCCCAAUCUUGGUCACUUCUCUCCCAUUCUGUCACUACUCUCCACAUUGGCUGCCCACAUUGGUGGGAGUGGAUUUCCUUUACUUCAUUUACUCACUCAAAUACCAAUCUCUUCCAGAAACACCUUCACAGACAAACCAGAUAUAAUGUUUUACCAGCAAUCUGGGCAUUCUUUAGCCCAGUCAAUGAACCAUCAGAGGUAUUUCCCAAGCUGUGAUAGGGUGUGGGCAAUGUUAAGUGAUGCUUCAGUAUUAGUGUGGGGGGUACCAUUCCACACUGUCUACAGAACCAAGAGGAGGGAGGGGUACUGGAUCCCAGAGACAGG
rnacentral:lncRNA from 1 species